CCAGGCAAUGUCGCCGACCCCAUUCAUUUCUUAUUGCGCAAGCGGAAUGUACUAUAAAACCCCUGACAAUAAAAUACGGGAUAGAAAAGCAGGAAACAAUUUCACAACCAAUCACUUACACAAACCAACAGAGUUACAGACGAAGGCCUACAGCCAAGAGUCUACAAAAGACCGACUCUUAAAAAUGAAUUGCCCUACGACCUACAAGUCGGACACGUUCUUCAAUCUUAUGACUUCACCUCUGCAUCUCCUCACGGCCAACCAAAGCUAUCUGGCCGCUCCGUCCACCAGGGACCUGAAAUGGUUAUUCAAUAACCACUGAGACAACGUCUCAGCAAGUUCAACCCCCUAAACCCUUAUUAGAAAGAAAAUACGCCCCAGAGUGGUCUAGCCACACAGCACAGAAGACUUACCUCGCCUUCUUGCCUUCCUGCAGGUUAGUACAAUUCAUAUCACUCAAGCACCAGUAAUGAUAAGAAUGUAAGCCAUCGGAACACAAUCAAUUUCACUUAAUUUCACAAUCACAGCAAGCAUUCCAUGUCAUCAUUAUCCACUGCCACACAAGAGUACAGCCUAUUCGCCGGUCGACUAUCUACUAAAAUUACAGCAUUUCUAGAAGAAUAAAGGUCCAGUCGGUCUCGCCACUACUGCGACCAUGCCACGUUGUUCUAUCGACAGCAUUUCUAGAAGAAUAAAGGUCCAGUCGGUCUCGCCACUACUGCGACCAUGCCACGUCGUUCUAUCGACAGCAUUUCUAGAAGAAUAAAGGUCCAGUCGGUCUCGCCACUACUGCGACCAUGCCACGUCGUUCUAUCGACAGCAUUUCUAGAAGAAUAAAGGUCCAGUCGGUCUCGCCACUACUGCGACCAUGCCACGUCGUUCUAUCGACAGCAUUUCUAGAAGAAUAAAGGUCCAGUCGGUCUCGCCACUACUGGGACCAUGCCACGUCGUUCUAUCGACAGCAUUUCUAGAAGAAUAAAGGUCCAGUCGGUCUCGCCACUACUGGGACCAUGCCACGUCGUUCUAUCGACGGCAUUUCUAGAAUAAUAAUGGUCCAGUCGGUCUCGCCACUACUGCGACCAAGCCACGUCAUUCUCUUGACGGCAUUUCUAGAAGAAUAAGGAUCCAGUCGGCCUAGCCACUACUGCGACCCGAGCCUUUCAACUAGCACACGACAAUUCGAUACCGAUCCUUAGAUACUUUACAUUUCACUCACAUAAUCCAAUUACGAUAUUAACCAUUAACAAUCCAAUUUCAAUGCCAAACUCGACACUUGGGAUUUUCUAAAUAAAAUCCAUACUUUUCACAAUCCACACUCAAUUUAUAAUAUUCAAUCAUCAAUUUCAAAAUUCAACUACACAGCAGUGAUCGGCACGAAAUUCUGAGCAACCGGGAUCAAAAAUAAUUUUUCCGUUUUUUAUUUUUUAUUUUUUUUAUAUAAUAAUAUUUUAAUAAUUUCGGAAUAUAAUAUAAUAUUAUAAAUUUCCAGAAUUUCGAAGCAAUUAAAUAAUUCAAAAUUAAAAUCCUUUUAUGUCACAUCAAGGCUUUAUAUUAACAAUAAACAUACUUAACUUUAAACUAAACACACUUUAACUUAAUUAAACACCAUAAUAUAAUCAUCAACCAAUUAAAUUAAUUCAACCCACUAAGCUUACUUAACUUAGGCUAAACACACUUAGGGCAUCAUUAACCGUCUAAUCAAGAUUUAGUGAGUUAAACUCACCGGAUUAGCGAGCCGAGCGGACCAAAACGACGAGGACGACGCGAGGAUCGACUUUCCUCAAGGCGGGCCGAGCAUCCGGGCUCGGGAAGGCGGCCAAAACGAGCCAAACGUCCGCUGCAUACCCAUUUUUCCAGCCCUCUGAUUUGGGGCCGAGAAGGGCUGCACGGCGGCGGAUCGGGCGGAGGAAUGGCGGAGGAGGACCGGCGGGGCUUGGACGGGCGAGGCGGCAGCUCCGACGAGGCCUCACGGUGGCCGAAGGGAGCUCCGGCAGCUCCUGGAACUCACGAAUCGAGACGGACGGGGAUGGCUAGGCGCGGGCGAGCACGGGCAACGGCUGN
rnacentral:lncRNA from 1 species